AAAUUGAAGAGUUUGAUCAUGGCUCAGAUUGAACGCUGGCGGCAGGCCUAACACAUGCAAGUCGAGCGGAAACGGCAGUAUUGAAGCUUYGGUGGAUUUACUGGACGUCGAGCGGCGGACGGGUGAGUAACGGCUGGGAACCUGCCCUGACGAGGGGGAUAACCGUUGGAAACGACGGCUAAUACCGCAUAAUGUCUACGGACCAAAGGUGGCCUCUACAUGUAAGCUAUCGCGUUGGGAUGGGCCCAGUUAGGAUUAGCUAGUUGGUAAGGUAAUGGCUUACCAAGGCGACGAUCCUUAGCUGGUUUGAGAGGAUGAUCAGCCACACUGGGACUGAGACACGGCCCAGACUCCUACGGGAGGCAGCAGUGGGGAAUAUUGCACAAUGGGGGAGACCCUGAUGCAGCCAUGCCGCGUGUGUGAAGAAGGCCU
rnacentral:rRNA from 1 species